rnacentral:rRNA from 1 species
UGAAGAAUUUGCCCAACGGUGGGGGAUAGCCGGCCCAACGGCCGGGUAAUACCGCGUACGCCCUUCGAGCGGCAUCGCUUGAUGGGGAAAGUCGCAAGACGCCGAUGGAGAACUUCGCGGCCUAUCAGCUAGUUGGUGAGGUCAUGGCUCACCAAGGCGACGACGGGUANCUGGU